GCAGAUAUGGUCUAAUGGCGAUGACUCUAGCCUUCCAAGCUUGAAAUGCGGGUUCGACUCCCGUUAUCUGCU
rnacentral:tRNA from 1 species